AUGGCAGCUCAGACCGGAGCAGUGCUCCUCCUCGUCGGCCUCCUUGCUCUUGCAACCAUGGCCAGCAGCAACACUGAAGGCGACAUCCUUUACUCGCAAAGGCAGGUGUGGAAGGAUCCCAACAACGUUCUGACAAGCUGGGAUCCGACGCUUGUCAACCCCUGCACUUGGUUCCAUGUCACCUGCAACCUCGACAACUCCGUCACCCGAGUGGAUUUGGGGAACGCAGGCAUCUCAGGCACCCUGAUUCCUCAACUGGGACAACUGAAGAACCUGCAGUACCUGGAGCUAUACGGGAACAAUAUGAGUGGACCAAUACCAACGACCCUGGGCAACCUGACACGCCUGGUCAGCCUUGAUCUCUACGACAACCAUCUCACCGGAGUGAUACCUUCCUCGCUUGGGGCAGUUGGGACACUGCGUUUCUUGAGGUUGCAUGGGAACAAACUGGCAGGGAGUAUACCGGCGUCGUUGGGCCGUCUGACGAAGCUUGUCAAGCUGGAGCUUCAGGAGAACAUGCUGAGCGGCACGGUGCCGCUGGAGAUCCUCUCACUUGUUCUUGUUGGGGACUUGACUGAACUGAAUGUCGCCAAGAACAAUCUUGCCGGCACUGUCAUAUCAUCUAAACCAAGAGUGGCUACGGUCAUCCAUGACACGCUCAAGACUACAAGCUGA
rnacentral:rRNA from 1 species